ensembl:lncRNA
GGAGAUUUCCAUCUGUGUCAGAGCUCCCCUGGCAGUUCCAUCUUCCCUUUCCUGCCUUCCCCUCCUUCUUCUGGAUGGUAAAGCAGAGACCACUUUGACACACCAGACGGAAGGAGCCACCCUUUGUCCCCUGUCUUCCAUAAGUCAGGAGCAAAGCUGAGUUGGCCAUGGAUUCCAAAGCAGCAGCUCCUGUGCCGAGGCUGUUUUAUAUGUUUGCAUUCCUCAAGAUACCAGUUAUCAUUAGCAGCAAAUUAAAGCUAUUUUGGGAUCAGUUCAAAGCUGCCUUUGAGGUAUUUUAAGUUGGACAAAAGUCCUCUACGUGUCUAGCUUUAAGCUGAGCGUCCUGAUGUCAUUAGAAGCCCACUUGUACUUGGAGACUACAAUCUGUAUACCUUGAUUUUUGUGAACGUUUCAUAAAUUUCAGGAUUGUUUGUUAAAACUUGAGGACCUGAUGCCACCACCCACUUAAGCAGGACACCGGAAGCAGCUGGGUCCCCACCUCCCAGGAGCUGUGCCAUCAACCCUCCCCAACCCCACAUUCACAUCAACCCUCGGACAGGGCCUUGGGGGGAACGGGCCAGGAGGGUUCUUUACCACCAGUGCCACCUGGGAAGCAGGUUUGAUCCCUGGAUCAAGAAGAUCUCCUGGAAUAGGAAAUGGAAACACACUUCAGUACUCUUGCCUGCAGAAUCCCAUGGACAGAGGAGCUUGGCGGGCUUCGGUCCAUGGGGUCACAAAGAGUCGGAUACAACUGAGUGACAGCAUAUAUGUGUGAUACGUGUUCCCAGGGUGACCUUGAUCCUGGGAGUGCGGGGCGCCGGCCAGAGGCAGCUGGAGAGGAGCUGCAGAGCCCCUUAUC